AUGAAAAAAUUUCCAUGAUGAGCAAAACUUCGAAAUGUUCGAUAAGAAGAGGAUCCAAUCCCGCGCGCGCCCUUGGCUCGCUGCACCUGUUCCCCCCAGUGCCGUGGCCGCGUGCCCUUGCUCCUGCCCCCUUCCCCAAACCAGCAACCGCCCAACAUGGUCUCCCACCGGGAGGCUCAUCGCCGUCGGACACAGAAGUGUGUUAUGUGUUGCUUUUGUUGAUUCUCUAGAAUUACCCACCAGGAAGCUCCGGGGGCGGGGAUGUGUGUCUGUAUCCUUCACUGCUGGGUCCCCAGCGCCUGCAGCUGUUCCUGCCUCGCCCUAAGUGCUGGACAAAUAGUGAAUGGAUGAAUGAACAAGGGAAUGAACGGAUGAGCGGGUGGGUUGGAAGCAUCCCCCAAGAUAGACCCGGAACAGCGCUUUGCACCCUGGCUGGCCCAGGACACCUGGAGUCAAGGCGCUUCGUCUGCUGGAACCCUCCGAUUGGCCAGGCCUGGAUCACGUGGCCCGCGCCGGCUGGCAGGCCUUCUCUGCCGGCCUGGUGGGAAAAAGAAACCAACGCUGCAAUCAGUCUGUAUCACAUCCCUCCGUUUUAUUAUUAUUUUAAGCAGCACGCAUGGCGCUGGAAAGAGCCCGCUGAGCCAUGGUCGCCUUUGUUGUGCGUCGCCCCGUCCUGUCUGAUUUCCCCGCUGUGUCCCAGCACACAGCUGGGGUCAGCGGCAGGCAGAAAGUAUUUCAGGUCUUUCUGGAAUGAGUCAGUGACACGGUAAUUAUUUCCCCCAUGUUGCAGGUGAGGCUCUGGGAAGGCGAGGAUGGAUUGAUUCUGUUUCCUUCGGAUCCGCCUUCUUCAUCCCCGGAGCUCGGCCACUCAACAAGCAUUUGCGAGGGGCGCCCUGUGUGCCUGGCCCUGACCUCACAGUCCAGAAGCCAAGCGGGACGUGAAUGAGGACUGCGCUGCCCAAGGCGAAGCCCGAAGCAGCCUGGCCCGGGCGGCUGUAACGAACACCAUGGCUGGACGGCAGGGGAACAAUCCCCAUGAUUUCUCACAGUUGUGAGGCUGGAAAGUCCAAGAUCAAGGUGCUGGCAGAGGGAACAGAAGCGUUUCCAGGGGCCCCGAAGCUAUCGUCAGCCCCGGGCACUGCCUGGGGGACUUGCUGGCCCCGCAGGAAAAGCGGCCUGGAGGGCAGAGAGAAGCAGGCCCGGGGGGCAGCACUGACCGGGCUGCGGGCGGGGAGGUGGCGGGCAGGACGGACGGACGGACAGACGUGCGGCCUGCAGGACAGGCCCGGCCAGUCCGGUUUGGGAACCCAGGGACCCGCCUUAAAAAGUUAGACCAGGAGCGGACUUCAUGGAAAUGAAGCACCAUCAAGAGAAUAAAAGCCAAUAAAAGAGAAUAAAAAGGCAAUUCACAGAA